rnacentral:rRNA from 1 species
GAUCAUGGCUCAGGAUGAACGCUAGCGACAGGCUUAACACAUGCAAGUCGAGGGGCAGCGGGGUUGUAGCAAUACACCGCCGGCGACCGGCGCACGGGUGAGUAACGCGUAUGGCAACUUGCCUAUCAGAGGGGGAUAACCCGGCGAAAGUCGGACUAAUACCGCAUGAAGCAGGGAUCCCGGCAUUGGGAAUAUUUGCUAAAGAUUCAUCGCUGAUAGAUAGGCAUGCCG